UUGCAAAUGUUUCUCUCUGUCUCAAAUGCUCCCUUUCCUUUCUCUCUCUCUCUCACCCCGGACCUUAUUGCCAAAUACAGCCAUUGCCGUGCUUCGUUGGUCCAGCGAGAUCGGAAUUUGUAUCCUCUGAAAACCUUGAAAAUCAACUUUAUUCUAUUUCUAGCGUCAUCGUCAAAACCCGCACCACUAUCUUAGUCACCAAUUCCGACACUCAACGACGCAAAGGGGGAUGUGAUGCUUCUGUUCUAUUCGGUUUGUUGAAGGAGUUGAUUCCAAUAGUUAGUCUCUUUCUAAAAGUCUCCACUAAGAUGAGACUAUUGAGAAGAAGUGGAAAAGAUGAGAAGAAGUGUAAAAUAUGCAACUAGUUCACUAGCUUUGCAAGCUAGUUCUAUGAGACAUGGGCCCUACCACAAGAUUCUGAAGAAUGAUGGAAAACGUUUUUGGACAGUUUUUUGGAAUAGCAAACUGCACAGAUGUAUGCACAACUAGUGGACAAUAUUUUUGGGCAACAUAUUUGACUUGGACAGUUUUUUAGAUGGCAUAUCUAACAAUUUGGACAAUUGAUACCUUUUGUAACAACUCUUUUGGAUAAAUUCUGUAACUAAUGUGGCUAAACAAAAAUGUUAGAUUUUAUAUGAAAAUGAUGAAUAUUUUUAAAUGUAAUAAAGUUCAUUUCUAUACGUGCAUCUUUGAAUAAGACAAUUGUGGAUGAAGGCCAUAAAAUUCAUUAAGGGAGAGGCUGAUAAUUUUGGAGGGUGAUUCCAGUUCCUCCAAUCUAGACAAUUUGGAAAUAGUCUUGGAGAUGACUUCGGAGUUCUCAUUUUCUUUUGCUAAAAAUUAACCUUACAAAGGACUUUUGUUCAAUAUGAGCAAAAUUUAAUUGUAUUAAGAUGAACUAAAUACAUUGAUGUGCUCUCUAAUUUGUGUUGCCAAAAUGUUUAGCCAUUCAAUCUUCAAUUUUUCUCAAAUCCAAC